UAUCGUCUGCGCCCCGGGGAGUUUCCUGCGAACUUGUCUCGUUUGUCACUGUUCCCCCAGCACGGAGAACAGUGCCUGCUGGGGUCCCCACCUGCUGAAAUCUAGGCAGGGAUCCCUCACGGAGGAAAACAAAACACACAAGCCCAAGACACAAGUUGUGCUAAAAGCAACCUCCGAUCUAUGGAGCUGAGGAGCAGGGCAAGACGUGGGAGGGAGAAAGGGGAAAACUUUCCUGUCACGUGUUCUGCCGUGCUCACAGCUGAUGGCCACAAAGUAUGAGAGUUAGAGCUCUAUGCCACCUCCCAAGAGCCUUCUCUGCCCUCACUUAAUGGAGAGCUGGAGAGCUGCCCAUCUGGGGGCCCGGGCAUCACCUUCGAGAGCCGCCCAUCCUGGGGCCUGGGCAUCGCCUUCGUGGCCCGUCUUCUCUGCGGAAGCACCUGGGGCAGUUACAGAUCUCAGAGGCCUUUCCGGUUGGAGGGUCCCCAGCCAUACAUGGAUUUAUGCUGCACCCAGUUCCUGGUGGAGGAAGGUCUGUUCUGACAUCAAACAGUCCGUCAGCAUCUCUGUUCCAGAAACUGCUGGCAUGAUGAGUGGGCUGCACAAAGGUAGCGGGUGACACACUUGAGGUCAUCCUCAACUACAGGGAGCCAGGAAGUUUCCGUACAUCCUAAGCUGACCUGAGGCCCUUGUGCUAAGUUACCCAGCAAACGCCAUCUGUGCUCGUGGAUGCACAGCCGCGCCAUGCGAGUGAAGCAGUGGUUGGAGCUUCAGUCCUCCCCUCUGGAGCUCAGCUUCUUCUAUGGUUCUCCUCUUAAUUUCUCCUAAGAAGACACCACACCCUCAGAGCCCAUGGCUGACAACAGUCAGAAAACCGACCCAACCUGGCCUAAGCCAAAACAGGGACUUAGGAGAAAGAUGGUGGGUUAUCUCAUAGAUGUCUAAGACAGGAGAAUGUGUCCGGGCCUCCAGGGGACUAGAAUCACGCCCUGCAAAGCUGUGCAGGCUCUCAUUCUCUCUCUGCCUGUGUAUCUUUCUUGCUGAUGGCCUGCUUUUUCCACGGAGGGGACAAUGGAGCUGCCAACAGCUUCUGAGCUUCCCAUCUGACAGCUUCAGCCACUUAAGAGAGAGAGCAAGCAGAUGUUCUCUCUGCUUCAAAGUCAGGAAACACCCAGAAAGAGAUUCAUUGGCCCAGCUUAGGCGCUGACCCUAGGAUAAUCAGAUGUGUCCAGGUGGGCAGGGCCAGCAGAACCACCAUGUGGGAGGGCAGGAGAAGGGCAGCUCCUGCAAACAGGCCAGACAGGGUAAACCAAUAGGUAUCCAUGGCAACAGUCAUUCUCCAAGUUCCAAUGAUUGGUUUUCACAACAGGUCAAAAUUCUCUGGGAAACAGCCACAGAGCCAUUAUCACUGAGUGCCCACUCAUGUGGCUCUGCCCACCUGGCUUCCAGAGCCCCAAGGCACCCUUGACCUGCUCAUGUCCCCUGAAGAAAUAGGCUCUCUGCCACAGCUCCAAGGGCAGACAUGCGAGCCCUUCAGGCCUCGCCCGGGUAAGGGCGCACCUCCACAUCAGCAGGACAUCAAACACCCAGGAAGGUAUCAGGCUAGAUUAUUUUGUCCCUCGCCAUAAAGUCUAAAACAGACACAGGAAAGAGGCCACUAGAAAAGUGAGCCCAAAUACAGUCACAUCCUCGCAGAAGUAGUCCCUGGGCACGAACACAUCUCAGGAUGAGUAAGAAACCCUCUGCAUUUCCACACCACUCACCAACUAAGAAUCAUGGAAAGUAGGUCAAAUUAAUCACUCAUGAAAAUUUUAAAAAAUGUAUUCCCUGCCAGGAAAGAUUGAGCCAGUGGCUACUGUCCCGAUGUAUUGCAUUAAAUGGCCAGCCGAAGGCACGCUGGCCAGGAUCGUUCCAGAGCUUUCUCAGCCUCUUCUGUACACUUAGGAUCUGAUCUCCCAUCGUUUUUCUUCAGCUCUUCUCAAGAGCAAUAAAAACAAAAAGCCUAAACA
rnacentral:lncRNA from 1 species